AUACUUACCUGGCAGGGGAGAUACCAUGAUCAAGAAGGUGUUUUUUUCCCAGGGCAAUCCUUACUCAUUGCACUCUGGAUGUGCGAUCUCCCCAAAUGUGGGAAAGUGAACUGCAAAAUUUGUGGUAAUGGGGACUGUAUUCUUGCUUUCUCCUA
rnacentral:snRNA from 1 species